rnacentral:rRNA from 2 species
AUCUUCCACAAUGGACGAAAGUCUGAUGGAGCAACGCCGCGUGAGUGAAGAAGGGUUUCGGCUCGUAAAACUCUGUUGUUAAAGAAGAACAUAUCUGAGAGUAACUGUUCAGGUAUUGACGGUAUUUAACCAGAAAGCCACGGCUAACUACGUGCCAGCAGCCGCGGUAAUACGUAGGUGGCAAGCGUUGUCCGGAUUUAUUGGGCGUAAAGCGAGCGCAGGCGGUUUUUUAAGUCUGAUGUGAAAGCCUUCGGCUCAACCGAAGAAGUGCAUCGGAAACUGGGAAACUUGAGUGCAGAAGAGGACAGUGGAACUCCAUGUGUAGCGGUGAAAUGCGUAGAUAUAUGGAAGAACACCAGUGGCGAAGGCGGCUGUCUGGUCUGUAACUGACGCUGAGGCUCGAAAGUAUGGGUAGCAAACAGGAUUAGAUACCCUGGUAGUCCAUACCGUAAACGAUGAAUGCUAAGUGUUGGAGGGUUUCCGCCCUUCAGUGCUGCAGCUAACGCAUUAAGCAUUCCGCCUGGGGAGUACGGCCGCAAGGCUGAAACUCAAAGGAAUUGACGGGGGCCCGCACAAGCGGUGGAGCAUGUGGUUUAAUUCGAAGCUACGCGAAGAACCUUACCAGGUCUUGACAUACUAUGCAAAUCUAAGAGAUUAGACGUUCCCUUCGGGGACAUGGAUACAGGUGGUGCAUGGUUGUCGUCAGCUCGUGUCGUGAGAUGUUGGGUUAAGUCCCGCAACGAGCGCAACCCUUUAUUAUCAGUUGCCAGCAUUAAGUUGGGCACUCUGGUGAGACUGCCGGUGACAACCGGGAGGAAGGUG